rnacentral:rRNA from 1 species
UACGUAGGUGGCAAGCGUUGUCCGGAUUUAUUGGGUUUAAAGGGUGCGUAGGCGGUUUUUAAAGUCAGGGGUGAAAUCCGGCAGCUCAACUGUCGAUGUGCCAUUGAUACUGCAGAACUUGAGUACAGACGAGGUAGGCGGAAUUGACGGUGUAGCGGUGAAAUGCUUAGAUAUCGUCAAGAACACCGAUAGCGAAGGCAGCUUACUAGACUGUAACUGACGCUGAUGCACGAAAGUGUGGGGAUCAAACAGG